AGAGUUCGAUCCUGGCUCAGGAUGAACGCUGGCGGCGUGCUUAACACAUGCAAGUCGAACGAGAAAUGAAGACGGAAACCUUCGGGCGGAAGACUUCAUUUCGAGUGGCGGACGGGUGAGUAACGCGUGGGUAACCUGCCUCAUACAGGGGGAUAACAGUUGGAAACGACUGUUAAUACCGCAUAAGACCACAGCACCGCAUGGUGCGGGGGUAAAAACUCCGGUGGUAUGAGAUGGACCCGCGUUCGAUUAGCCAGUUGGCGGGGUAACGGCCCACCAAAGCGACGAUCGAUAGCCGAUCUGAGAGGAUGACCGGCCACAUUGGGACUGAGACACGGCCCAAACUCCUACGGGAGGCAGCAGUGGGGAAUAUUGCACAAUGGGGGAAACCCUGAUGCAGCGACGCCGCGUGAGUGAAGAAGUAUUUCGGUAUGUAAAGCUCUAUCAGCAGGGAAGAAAAUGACGGUACCUGAGUAAGAAGCCCCGGCUAACUACGUGCCAGCAGCCGCGGUAAUACGUAGGGGGCAAGCGUUAUCCGGAUUCAUUGGGCGUAAAGCGCUCGUAGGCGGUCUGUUAGGUCGGGAGUUAAAUCCGGGGGCUCAACCCCCGUUCGCUCCCGAUACCGGCAGACUUGAGUUUGGUAGGGGAAGGUGGAAUUCCUAGUGUAGCGGUGGAAUGCGCAGAUAUUAGGAAGAACACCAGUGGCGAAGGCGGCCUUCUGGGCCAUAACUGACGCUGAGGAGCGAAAGCUAGGGGAGCAAACAGGAUUAGAUACCCUGGUAGUCCUAGCCGUAAACGAUGGACACUAGGUGUGGGGGAAUAUUUCUUCCGUGCCGCAGCUAACGCAUUAAGUGUCCCGCCUGGGGAGUACGGCCGCAAGGCUAAAACUCAAAGGAAUUGACGGGGGCCCGCACAAGCAGCGGAGCAUGUGGUUUAAUUCGAAGCAACGCGAAGAACCUUA
rnacentral:rRNA from 1 species